rnacentral:rRNA from 1 species
AUACGAAGGGUGCAAGCGUUAAUCGGAAUUACUGGGCGUAAAGCGCGCGUAGGUGGUUUUGUAAGUUGGAGGUGAAAGCCCCGGGCUCAACCUGGGAAUUGCCUCCAAAACUGCAUGACUAGAGUACGGUAGAGGGUAGUGGAAUUUCCUGUGUAGCGGUGAAAUGCGUAGAUAUAGGAAGGAACACCAGUGGCGAAGGCGACUACCUGGACGGAAACUGACACUGAGGUCCGAAAGCGUGGGGAUCAAACAGGAUUAGAUACCCUGGUAGUCCACGCCGUAAACGAUGUCAACUAGCCGUUGGGAUCCUUGAGAUCUUAGUGGCGCAGCUAACGCAUUAAGUUGACCGCCUGGGGAGUACGGCCGCAAGGUUACAACUCAAAUGAAUUGGCGGGG